rnacentral:rRNA from 1 species
CUGAAUUUAAGCAUAUCACUAAGCGGAGGAAAAGAAACUAACCAGGAUUUCCUUAGUAACGGCGAGUGAAGCGGAAAUAGUCCAGCGCCGAAUCCAACGUGCGUACGUACGUUCGGAAAUGUGGCGUUUGCGAAGAAUGCACGUCAUUUGCCGGUCGGCUAAAGUUUCCAUGAAUGGGGCUCGCCCACAGUGGGUGUUAGGCCUUUGCAGCCGACUUUUGUAACAGGCAUCAUUGACAAGCGUGCUUCGCCAGAGUCGGGUUGUUUGUGAAUGCAGCCCAAAGCAGGUGGUAAGCUCCAUCUAAGACUGAAUACGAACACGAGUCCGAUAGCAAACAAGUACCGUGAGGGAAAGUUGAAAAGCACUUUGAAGAGAGAGUUAAACAGUACGUGAAACCGCUUGGACGCAAACGAAUGGGAGCUUGAUAUUGUUGCACAGAAUUCAGUCGCUCACGUCGUUCAAUGGUGCGCACGACGAGUCGGAGCCAUCGGCAUGUCGGCUGUCGUGUGUCGGCAUUUGCAUGUACGACGUCGAGCGGUGCACUUUGUGUGCAACAGCAGCACGACCGAUUAGCUGUUGUUUGUUGAAGACGGCAACAAAGCGGCGGCGAAGGUAGCUGCUUGCAUCGGCUCACGCCGGAGCAAUCAGUGUUUAUAGCGCCGCCUGUGUAUUGCCCGUCGGCUGAUCGAGGGCCCAGUGACGCGGUUGCCCGGCCGUAGCGUUCUAAAUCGCAACUGUGCGCUACGGAUCGAGCGGCAUGACUGAAACGGUUGCGGCUAGCGUGUCAUGUCGAUAAACUGCCUGCAUUAACGCUGCUUGCAGCUUGUUAACGUAGGCGCAUGGCGCGCGCAUUCUAAAGUAGGCCGUCCGCAGUCACGACACACAAUCCGGCCAACGAGUCGGAGUGAGCGUCGACCGCGCAAGGUCAGUGCCGUCAACGAUAGUUGCCCAUUCGACCCGUCUUGAAACACGGACCAAGGAGUCUAACAUGUGCGCAAGUCAUCGGGUUGCUCGAAACCCAGCAGUGGCGCAGUGAAAGCAAUUGCUCGUGCUUGCCGCGAGCCGAAUGUUACCACAGAUGGGUAGGAGCCGAGUACACAUUGUGGCGGCAGCAAUGCCGCACAACGGCGCACUACCAUUCCGUUCUGUCUGUCCGGCGCGUACUCUGGUGCUGUGUCGGCAGUGGAGCGGCAAACGAGCGCACACGUUGGGACCCGAAAGAUGGUGAACUAUGCCUGAGCAGGACGAAGCCAGAGGAAACUCUGGUGGAGGUCCGCAGCGAUUCUGACGUGCAAAUCGAUCGUCAAACUUGGGUAUAGGGGCGAAAGACUAAUCGAACCAUCUAGUAGCUGGUUCCCUCCGAAGUUUCCCUCAGGAUAGCUGGCACUCGACCAGUAACGCAGUUUUACUCGGUAAAGCUAAUGAUUAGAGGUUACGGGGACAAAACGUUCUCGGCCUAUUCUCAAACUUUAAAUGGGUAAGCAACUCGAAUCGCUUAACAACAACCGUUCGGCCUUCGCGCCGGAUUGGAUUCGGGUACAGUAGACGCGCACACAACAACUGGCGGCGCAAGCCGAACCCAGGUGUGGUCGAUGCAUACGAAUGCGAGUGCCAAGUGGGCCAUUUUUGGUAAGCAGAACUGGCGCUGUGGGAUGAACCAAACGUUCGGUUAAGGCGCCUAACACGACGCUCAUGAGAUACCAUAAAAGGUGUUGGUUGAUAUUGACAGCAGGACGGUGGCCAUGGAAGUCGGAAUCCGCUAAGGAGUGUGUAACAACUCACCUGCCGAAUCAACUAGCCCUGAAAAUGGAUGGCGCUGGAGCGUCGGGCCUAUACCGGACCGUCGGCGCAGUGCAUGUACGCGCACACUGUAACGUACCAUGCGCCGACGAGUAGGAGGGUCGCUGUGGUGAGCGUUGAAGGCUUGGGCGUGAGCCUGGCUGGAGCCGCCACGGGUGCAGAUCUUGGUGGUAGUAGCAAGUAUUCAAAUGAGAACUUUGAAGACUGAAGUGGAGAAGGGUUCCAUGUGAACAGCAGUUGGACAUGGGUCAGUCGAUCCUAAGUCGCACACUAAUGUCGAUCAUGUGUAGUGGCCGAGAGCUGUCUGGCGUUUCGGAUGUUAUGAUCGUUCAAGGCGCUGACGAUGAAUUGAUCGCUGGUGGUAGUAGAUGAGCGGCCGGACACAGCGUAACAUUGUACACGCCACUCUUGUGGUGCGUACGCUGUUGCGCUGUCAAGGCCCGCUGUCGUCUACCCACCAGCGAUAUAUAUAUAUAAU